CCUACGGGCGGCAGCAGUGGGGAAUAUUGCACAAUGGGCGCAAGCCUGAUGCAGCCAAGCCGCGUGUGUGAAGAAGGCCUUCGGGUUGUAAAGCACUUUCAGCGGGGAGGAAGGCGGUGAGGUUAAUAACCUCAUCGAUUGACGUUACCCGCAGAAGAAGCACCGGCUAACUCCGUGCCAGCAGCCGCGGUAAUACGGAGGGUGCAAGCGUUAAUCGGAAUUACUGGGCGUAAAGCGCACGCAGGCGGUCUGUCAAGUCGGAUGUGAAAUCCCCGGGCUCAACCUGGGAACUGCAUUCGAAACUGGCAGGCUAGAGUCUUGUAGAGGGGGGUAGAAUUCCAGGUGUAGCGGUGAAAUGCGUAGAGAUCUGGAGGAAUACCGGUGGCGAAGGCGGCCCCCUGGACAAAGACUGACGCUCAGGUGCGAAAGCGUGGGGAGCAAACAGGAUUAGAUACCCCGGUAGUC
rnacentral:rRNA from 1 species